UCCUCUGGCGCACAAUCCGCGGGUAAGAUCAUUUAUCUCUGUUUUAUGAAAAUUUAUAACUUUGGGCGAAGAAAUGUAGACGUUAAGUUUAGAGUUGCCGAGUUGAGUUUAGAAAGCUCACCUUAACGGUGAAUCAUGGCUUCAUUGUCGUUAGGCUAGGAUACGAUUUUGAUGGGUGCAUUCGAGUUGGGGUAGGCGUGAUUCUGCGUUUCAAGGAUGAUAAUAGGAAAAUUGAUUGUUAUAUCAAUUAGUAGUCAAAAGAUGCAUAAUUGCCUGAACCUUAAGAAUCCAAAGGUCUUAUUAUGCCUUGCUGAUUCAGUUUUUAAUGCAUAUGUAUGGCAAUUUUGGCAAUUUGUUUUCUGGUACAAUUGAAGAGUGUAGCCGUCUCUUUGGCAUUCUAAAUUUGUCUUUGUUUUGAAGGAUGAUUCCCCAUAAGACCAAGCGUGGAGAGGCUGCCCUUGCUCGCUUGAAGGUUUAUGAGGGAGUUCCACCUCCGUAUGAUAAGAUGAAGAGGAUGGUUAUCCCUGAUGCUCUCAAGGUGUUGAGGCUUCAGGCUGGACAUAAGUACUGUUUGUUGGGCAGGCUUUCAUCUGAGGUGGGAUGGAACCACUAUGAGACAAUCAAGGUAUGGAGUUCCUAUCCAGUUUCUUUCAGCUUUUUCCAAUGUGCCACAUUGUUGUUUAAGUAUAUUGGCCUCUUCUGUUGAUAAUCAGUAUAGUGGGCAUUUAGGUAGUUCACUGCUCAAUACCUUUUUAUUAAUGCUGGAAUCUCAAACUGAAUAAAGGCACUGGAAAAUGUCUAUAGUACUUGCUUUGUCAUUUUAUGAUGGGAGAAAUUAAAGCCAUCAAUCUUAUUACGCUAGUUUUUCUUUGUUAUGUUGAGUUUUACAUUUCCAGCUGGAAUCCCAUAGAUAUGCAUAUGAACAUAUUAAGAGUUAGGAACAUUAUUUUGUGGCGGACGUUGCUUUUGGUUCUACUUGUAUUUAGCAUCUUUUGUUCCUUUGCAAAUAUUCUCUAUGUAGUUCUAUAUGACAUGAUAUCUUCUUAUUAUAUAAUCUAGAUAUGAAUAUAUAUUGAUACCUUUUCUGGUGUCUGUUAUUCUCUGCAGGAGCUUGAGAGGAAGAGAAAGGAGAGGGCUCAGGUGGCUUAUGAGAGGAAGAAGCAGUUGACAAAACUAAGGGUUAAAGCUGAGAAGGUUGCAGAGGAGAAGCUUGGAUCCCAGCUAGACAUUAUUUCUCCCAUCAAAUAUUGAUUUGGAGUUUUUUCUUUUUUUCAGCGGGAAAUUUGAGAUUAUUGUCGUUGCAGCUAAAUUUGUUUUCUGUUUUAACAAUUUCUUUUUUGACUGGAUUAUUUUCGUGGUAGUUAUUUUAUUUUAUGUCAUGCCAUAUAGAUUUCUUUCUGCAAUUUUGAAUUAUGAAUUAUUUAUUUUCUAUUGUUCAUUCCGUAAAAUUUUUAUGAACUUCGUCCUUGAAAAUGUUGGAAUGGAGUUGCCAGCGAAGAAUGCAAGAAACAAAGU
rnacentral:misc_RNA from 1 species